GUAAUAAUCGAGUGAGCUAGCCGUUCGCGUGACUAACUCGUCGCUGUUGCCGCAGCUGCUCGCGGAUUAUCGAUUCGCGAGUAUUUCCCUUCGUCCGUGGUCAUGCGCCGUCCGGGCCACACCACCAGUCGACCUAACUUUGAAACAGGGAGAGACCGAACGAGUACAAAAUAGAGAGAGGAAAAGAGAGAGAGAGAGAGAGAGAGAGAGAGAGAG